rnacentral:misc_RNA from 1 species
GAUGAAGAACGUAGCGAAAUGCGAUAAGUAAUGUGAAUUGCAGAAUUCAGUGAAUCAUCGAAUCUUUGAACGCACCUUGCGCCCUUUGGCCAUUCCGAAGGGCAUGCCUGUUUGAGUAUCAUGAACACCUCAACUCUUCAUGGUUUUCCAUGAUGAGCUUGGACUUUGGGGGUCUUGCUGGCCUGUGGGUCGGCUCCUCUCAAAUGAAUCAGCUUGCCGGUUUUUGGUGGGCAUCACAGGUGUGAUAACUAUCUACGCUUGUGGUUUUCCACCAGGGUAACCUUCAGCAGUGGAGGUUCACUGGAGCUUACAAAUGUCUCUCCUCUGUGAGGACAGCCCUUUGAAUGUUUGAUCUCAAAUCAGGUAGGACUACCCGCUGAACUUAAGAAUAUCAAUAAGCGGAGGA